rnacentral:rRNA from 1 species
UACAGAGGUGGCAAGCGUUGUUCGGAAUUACUGGGCGUAAAGGGCGCGUAGGCGGCCAUCUAAGUCAGACGUGAAAUCCCCCGGCUUAACCUGGGAACUGCGUCUGAUACUGGACGGCUUGAGUAUGGGAGAGGGAUGUAGAAUUCCAGGUGUAGCGGUGAAAUGCGUAGAUAUCUGGAGGAAUACCUGUGGCGAAGGCGGCAUCCUGGACCAUUACUGACGCUGAGGCGCGAAAGCUAGGGGAGCAAACGGG